AAUAGAAAACGAAGAGUAAUAAACCACCUGCCUGCAUUGGCCGCAGCCUAUAUUUCGUGAAUCACACUGAACCUGAAACCCAGAUUGAAGGAUCAAAUAGCUGGUGGAACCAAGAGGAAAUUCGCCAGAUCUUAAACGUCGCUGAAUAUUUAAUGAAGAACGAAUAUGAUGCUGAUGACGUGACAGUACUUUGUGCUUACCGUGGCCAGGU